rnacentral:misc_RNA from 1 species
UUCUUUAUCUCCUUCCUAUAAAGCUUUUGUCUUGUCUGUUUUUCUGUUUCUAUCCCACAUGAUUAGAAGAAAGCAUACCUUAAUCCAAAAUGGAAGGCAGCUAUGAUAGAAGAGAUGAAAGCUUUAGCAAAAAAUGAGACAUGGGUUCUUGUUACUCUUCUUCUAGGGAAAAAACUGGUUGGAUGCAAAUGGAUGUUCACUUUAAAGCAUAAAGCAGAUGAUUCCAUUAAAAGAUAUAAGGCCAAAUUAGUGGCCAAAAGAUUUACUCAGACGUAUGGGGUGGAUUAUCAAGAGACUUUUGCACCUAUUGCUAAAAUGAAUACAAUUAGGAUCUUGCUGUCAUGUGCUGCAAACCUUGAAUGGGACUUACAGCAGGUUUGAUGUGAGAAAUACUUGUUUGCAUGGAGAUUUGGAAGAAGUACACAUGGAAAUCUCUCCAAGGUUUGAGGGUGAAAGGACCAAAUGAAAAGCCUGUAGAUUGAAAAAGGCACUAUGUGGUUUGAAGUAGUCACCAAGAGCAUGAUUUGACAGAUUUAGUAAGACCAUGAUUUCCUUUGGGUUCUAUCAAAGCAGUGCUGAUCAUACCCUAUUCAUGAAACACCAUAGAGGUGAGAUUACAGUGCUCAUUAUUUAUGUUGAUGAUAUAGUGGUGACAAGAGAUGACAAGGAAGAGAUUGCUCAUCUAAAGGAGUGCUUGGCUCUGGAAUUUGAGAUUAAAGACUUGGAUAGAUUAAGGUACUUUCUUGGAAUAGAAGUUGCCAAAUCAGACAGAGGGAUUUUUAUUUC